AAAUUUAGGAUAAAUAAACCAAGGGCCUUCAAAGCCCCAAACAGAGGAAUCUACCCUCUAACCUCUG
rnacentral:tRNA from 1 species